rnacentral:rRNA from 1 species
AGUGAACGCUGGCGGUAGGCCUAACACAUGCAAGUCGAACGGCAGCACAGUAAGAGCUUGCUCUUACGGGUGGCGAGUGGCGGACGGGUGAGGAAUACAUCGGAAUCUACUUUUUCGUGGGGGAUAACGUAGGGAAACUUACGCUAAUACCGCAUACGACCUACGGGUGAAAGCAGGGGAUCUUCGGACCUUGCGCGAUUGAAUGAGCCGAUGUCGGAUUAGCUAGUUGGCGGGGUAAGGGCCCACCAAGGCGACGAUCCGUAGCUGGUCUGAGAGGAUGAGCAGCCACACUGGAACUGAGACACGGUCCAGACUCCUACGGGAGGCAGCAGUGGGGAAUAUUGGACAAUGGGCGCAAGCCUGAUCCAGCCAUACCGCGUGGGUGAAGAAGGCCUUCGGGUUGUAAAGCCCUUUUGUUGGGAAAGAAAAGCAGCAGGUUAAUACCCCGCUGUUCUGACGGUACCCAAAGAAUAAGCACCGGCUGACUUCGUG